AAGAAAGAGAAAAAAAAGAGAAAAAGAAGAAAAAGUGAAAGAAGAAAAGAAAAGGGACACGUUGAAAUGACAGUAAAUUCUGCGCCAUCUUCUUCUUCUUGUUCUCCUCCAACUUCUCCUUCUCCUUCUCCUU
rnacentral:RNase_P_RNA from 13 species